rnacentral:tRNA from 1 species
GCUUUUGUGGCGAAAUAUGGUAUACGCGCCAAGUUUAGGCCUUGGAAUCUUUUAAAGAUGUGUGGGUUCGAAUCCCACCAAAAGCA